rnacentral:rRNA from 1 species
CCUUAGGUGGCAAUCUUUCUCCUUCUUUCCUUUUCUUCCCUUUUCCUUCUUUUUUUUUUCUUUUCUGGUGUUCAAGCGCUCGGCUUAACUGAGCGAGGCCACUGGAAACCGCCCAACUGGAGUCGCGCAGAGGGCACUGGAAUUCCCGGUGUAGUGGUGGAAUGCGUAGAGAUCGGGAGGAACACCAGAGGCGCAAGCGGGUGCCUGGGCGACGACUGACACUGAGGGACGAAAGCGUGGGGAGCGAACAG